rnacentral:misc_RNA from 1 species
GUGCCGCCGAGCUGCUGCGCCAUGGUCUGUUCGCCGUAGCAGAUGCCGAGCACCGGCACGCCAGCGGUCAGGAUCGACAUCGGCGCGGACGGAGCAUCCUGAUCGAGGACGGAGGCCGGCCCGCCGGAGAGGAUCACGGCCUUGGGCUGCAUCCCGCGGAAGGCUGCUUCGGCCUUCUGGAACGGCACGAUCUCGGAAUAGACGCCCUCUUCGCGGACGCGCCGCNGGGGAGCCGAAAUCGACGAUGAGAAUCUUCUCGUGAGCGGCCGCCUCGUCGGGCGUCG